UAGCUCCCGUCCCAGCCGCCACCAACUGCCCCCUCGUCGCCUCCCCCUCCCCUUCCCCCUCUCACCACCCACUGAACAAGCAGCUUAUUCACCGCGGCUUGUUUGUCGAUCCUCAGGUAUUAUUCGUCAAAAGCCUCCUCCUUUCUUAAUAGGACUCUCAGUCAACUCAAUUCAUCUAUAUUAGUGUUGAAUCAGGCUCGCUCGCAAGAUGAAGCGGCUGUAUGUGAAUCUGGUGACGCGGAAUUGGGAGAGUGGGAUUUAUGCACUGCGCCGCCUCAAUCCCGAUGUGCACCUCUUCUACCAGUCAAGAAAUGACGCAAAAGAAGUA
rnacentral:lncRNA from 1 species